rnacentral:rRNA from 1 species
CAAUAGCGUAUAUUUAAGUUGCUGCAGUUAAAAAGCUCGUAGUUGGAUUUCGGGUGGGAAUGGCCGGUCCGCCGUUUCGGUGUGCACUUGCUACGCCCACCUUGCUGCCGGGGACGUGCUCUUGAGUUCACGCUCGGGACACGGAGUCGGCGAGGUUACUUUGAGUAAAUUAGAGUGUUCAAAGCAGGCCUACGCUCUGAAUACAUUAGCAUGGAAUAACACGAUAGGACUCUGGCCUAUCUUGUUGGUCUGUAGGACCGGAGUAAUGAUUAAGAGGGACAGUCGGGGGCAUUCGUAUUUCAUUGUCAGAGGUGAAAUUCUUGGAUUUAUGAAAGACGAACUACUGCGAAAGCAUUCGGCAAGGAUGUUUUCAUUGA